UUGUGGAGGAGGACGCCGAAGGUGGGGCUAAUGACUGGGGUGAAGUCGUAACAAGGUAGCCGUACCGGAAGGUGCGGCUGGAUCACCUCCUAACAGGGAGACAACAAAAUGUUAAAUAUUAAUUUUGUCACCUUAGGUCGAUCGGUAUCUCACAUUCUUAAUUUAUUUAAGGAUUUUAUUUCCUAAGUUUUUUCUAGGUCACACCCAUUUUUUCCCUGGGCCAUUAGCUCAGGUGGUUAGAGCGCACCCCUGAUAAGGGUGAGGUCCCUGGUUCAAGUCCAGGAUGGCCCAUAUCCCUAUGUUGGGGGUAUAGCUCAGUUGGUAGAGCGCCUGCUUUGCAAGCAGGAUGUCAGCGGUUCGAGCCCGCUUACCUCCACUGAUUACCACCUCUUCCAUAAUUUAUAUAAGGGAAAUUUUUUGAGUGGUGAUCAAUAUUCUGAACGAAUCUAGCUUCCUAAUGAAAAUCAUUAAGAUGCUGGACUCAUUGAAUUAAUUUCAUUGUUUUCAGAGAACCUUGACAACUGCAUAGAUUAUUUUUUAAAGACAAUAAGCAUCUUUAAUGAUGCAGAUUUAUUAUUUGUGCGAAUGCAUUAAAUAACAAUUCUAUUAAGCUGAUGCUUCAAUUUUUGAAGUUAUUGGUCAAGCUACAA
rnacentral:misc_RNA from 1 species